CUAGUAGCUAUGAUGGGGAAAAGUAAGCUUGGUUCUUUUUUUAGAGAGCCGGCGGAUGGUGAAAGCCGGUAAAAGACUUUGCCUAAUUCCACCCCGAAGCUGCAUCUUUAAAAAGAUGCCGGGAUUUUAUAUGAUUCCGUUAGAUGAAUUGAGUAAUAUAUAAGGGUGGCAACGCGAGUCCUCUCGCCCCUUUA
rnacentral:ncRNA from 2 species